GGGGUGGAGCCCUGAUGAAGGCUCCUUAAGAGAAGAGGAAGAGCACUAACCUCUCUCCAUUUUGUGAGGACCAACGAGAAUUCAGCCAUCAACAAGCCAGAAAGAGGGCCCCCACCAAGAACCAAAUCUGCUUCCACCUUGAUCUUGGACCUCCAGAACUGUGGGAAUUAAAUGUUUGUCGUUGAAGUGCCCUAGUCCAAGACUACAACGCAGCAAUAAGAAGAGAAGGAACUACAGCAGGACACAGUGACAUGGGAUGGCUCUCACAGACUUAAUGAUGAGUGAAAGAAGUCAGACCCCGAAUAGUACGGAGUGUGUAUUUGCUCAGGUCAUCAGCAGCUUUUCUCCGCCUCCAGGACAGCUCAGGUGCUCAGGAGUAAUCCAUGUGUGAGAUGGGUCUGCAAUGCGAGGAGUAAUUCCAGCAGCCAGACUGAACCCCUCGGAUUACAAGGAUUUCCAAUCCUCUCAAAACCUGACAAAUGACUCCCUUAGUGCGUGGACUCUGUAGCAUCAAAAUAACCAAUGAUGGGAUGGUUUUGACCAAAUUACCCAACAGAGGAACGAGGGGAGGAACGGGGAAGAAACAGGGCUAUUAAGACAGCCGACUCCCAUCAUUCAGUAUCAUGAAGAAGCCAAUGCAAGGCCUUCAUCAUCUUCAUUUCAAGGCUUAGGCCGAGUUUCCUGGGAAUCCUGUGAAUCCUUGGAGAAGUCGAUGCUCCAGAUGUGCUUCCAAGUUGAGCGGCUCACCAGCAACCUGAACUUCGCGACGUUUUUGUUUCUCCUUGCAUUUGCAUUCUCAGGGACAGGAGGUUCCGUCGCAAUUGUCCUGGGUUCCAGCCCAUCAAAGCCAGGUGAGUCACGGAUCCCAGGUCUGUUAGUGUCUUCUUUGUGGUUGUCACCAUUGCCACCGUUUUAGAUUUUGCCUCUUUUAGGGAAGCCAGGCUGCAGAGUGGUGAAAGCUUAGAUAGUAGACACCCCCACCUGGCCAUUACCUAGUUUUAAUCUCUCUGGGCCUCAUCUUCUCAUCUACAGCAUGGGAAUCAAAGCUAUUUUAAGAUUAACUGAGUAAAGCAUAAUUUUUCAAGAAGGAAAAUUAGUAUUUUAGUAUCCUGUUUUAUGGCUUUCGGAUCUAACAGUCACUACACACACCUUAGACCAGAGGAUAUAAUGCCUACAUUUCUGUGAAACUCCCUCAAAUUCCACCACUCUGUCCUGCCCACAUUUGGCAGAAAUUUAAUAUUUAAUUUUUUAUUUGAGUCCAGUAUAUUCGACUGCCUGCAGCGGAUACAAGUU
rnacentral:lncRNA from 1 species